rnacentral:lncRNA from 1 species
GGCAGAUCAAUAUCCACAACCUGUCCGCCUUCUACGACAGCGACCUCUUCAAAAUCAACAAGUUCAGCCGUGACCUGAAACGCAAGCUGAUCCUACAGCAGUUCUGAGAUUAAAGAGCAACUUAGAAGUGUUUGCACACUUUUCCAGAACGUUCUUGGAGCCUGUGAUGGAGGAGCACAAGAGCCUGCCUACCGAGGGAGGGCCCAUGCUCCUUGUGCUGACUUUCUUCCUGCCUAGCCAGUGCCUUCAUUCGCUUCUUGUACAGUUUCUUAUAGUUUAUUUUUUAAUAAAUUUGAAUACAACUU